ACAAUGUAUUAUUAUUUUAAACAUUUCAAAAGAUGGCUCUAACCAGGGAUCCUUUCUCUUCUCCAGAUGCUAAGAGUAUCUCCACACAGUGAGAGUUUGGAAGUCCUGCCCUAAGCCUCACCUCAUCCCUCAUCUGGCCCUUCUUUCCUUGGAUGCCUCAUCUCCUUAUCCAUUCACAACAAGUGUUCUGAGUGUCCACCAUGUGCCAGACAUGCUUGAGUCACUAGUGACACAGACACAUGUGCACUGAUAACUACUUGGUCCUUGUCCUGCCAGAGGAGGGCCCACAUCCACCUCACCCAAUGCUGGAAAGGAGCAACCAGGGAAAGAUUGGCUUUUAUCACCUGAUAAACCCUGAUAUUGUCACAAAACCAUCAGUAAUUCUUCUCAUCUAUUCUGUAGGCCUGUUCAUCUUUCCUAAAAGUCAUUUGUUUUCCUUGUAAGUAAGUACCUUCUCCUCCUCUGCUUCUCCUAUUAGGUUGGUAUAUAAGCUCCCACAUUCUAAUUGCCUAGUACUUAAUAAAAAUCUUUUUUCUUGA